AUCAACUUUCGAUGGUAGGAUAGAGGCCUACCAUGGUGGUAACGGGUAACGGGGAAUUAGGGUUCGAUUCCGGAGAGGGAGCCUGAGAAACGGCUACCACAUCCAAGGAAGGCAGCAGGCGCGCAAAUUACUCAAUCCCGACACGGGGAGGUAGUGACAAUAAAUAACAACACAGGGCUCUUUUGGGUCUUGUUAUUGGAAUGAGUACGAUUUAAAUCUCCUAACGAGGAACAAUUGGAGGGCAAGUCUGGUGCCAGCAGCCGCGGUAAUUCCAGCUCCAAUAGCGUAUAUUAAAGUUGUUGCAGUUAAAAAGCUCGUAGUUGAAUUUCAGGCCUGGCUGGACGGUCCGCCCUUCGGGUGAGUACUGUCUGUGGUCGGGUCCUACCUUCUGGCGAAGCGUCAUGGCCUUAACCGGCCGUGGCGGGGAACCAGGACUUUUACUGUGAAAAAAUUAGAGUGUUCAAAGCAGGCAAUCGCUUGGAUACAUUAGCAUGGAAUAAUGGAAUAGGACAAUGGUUCUAUUUGUUGGUUUCUAGGACCGUUGUAAUGAUUAAUAGGGAUAGUUGGGGGCAUUAGUAUUCAAUUGUCAGAGGUGAAAUUCUUGGAUUUAUUGAAGACUAACUACUGCGAAAGCAUUUGCCAAGGAUGUUUUCAUUAAUCAAGAACGAAAGUUAGGGGAUCGAAGACGAUCAGAUACCGUCGUAGUCUUAACCAUAAACUAUGCCGACUAGGAAUCGGGCGAUGUUGAAAAAAUGACGCGCUCGGCACCUCAUGGGAAACCAAAGUGUUUGGGUUC
rnacentral:rRNA from 1 species